rnacentral:lncRNA from 1 species
GGAGCUGUGAGCUGGGGGGACUUUCAGAGUCGCUCUGCAUUAAGAUGGAAAAAAGAAGCUUGGAGAAGGGGAAAUGACUUUACCCAGCUAAGAAUAUGGCAAAGCUGAGCCAACUAGUCAAGUUUUCUGACCCCAAAUCCUGUAUUUCCCAUGACUCAUCUUGUGGAAGGCUGAGAUGCGGAAAUUGAGACUCAAAGAGGUUGAGCAGCAAUUCCGUGAGCUGAAACUUAAGCCCAGAUGCAUGUGAUUCCAGAGGCAGGCCCAGGCCCACUCGCCUCCUGUGAGUAUCAGGGAAGUCCAGUGCUGUCUGCUGCUGGCCUGUGAUGGAUGAAUUGGCCCUCUUGGACUUGGUCCAGUGCUUUCAAACUCGACUUUGUCCCUCCAUCCAUAUGUUCAGGCUUUUUUCCCUCCUCCCCACAGCCUGGGCAUGGCAGGUGAAGGAGCCUCCUCCUCUACUUUCUCUGCUUCUCAAAUGUUCUAAGACUUGGGAGAAGCCCAAAGACCUCCAGGCUCUUCACUCAUUCAUUCAACAGAUACCUUCUGAGCAUCUGGUAUGUUCUGGAUUUUGUCGUAGGGGUUGUGAACACAGCAGGCCAGGUUGUUGUCCGCAUGGAGGUUAUCAUGAACAAAUGCAUCAACGAGAAGAUUGUAGGGAAUGGCAUGAGCUUUGAUGUUACUAAAACAAGUUGGUGUCAUUGGAAGUGACUGGGGGAUGCGAGAGGGGCUGUUUUGCUAGCAUGUAGGGAAAUCCACUCCAUAGAGGGGAUGUUCGAACCGAGAUUUAAAUGAAAAGAAGCCACUCAGAGGAAGAUCUAGAAGAAGAAUAUUCCACACCAAGAGAGCGACAAGUGCAAAGUUCUCAAGGUUGGAAUGGACUUUACCAACUCAAGGAAGAGAAACGAGGCUGGAGCUUGGAGAGCAGGGGCAGAGGUCUGCUUCAGGGGACCCCCAAUCUAAGACAGAUAUCCCCAAUUUCACAUGAAGAGACUGAGGCAGCUGGAGGCAAAGCAGCUUGUACAAGACCCCACAAGAAGAGGAGGAGUUGCUUUCUUGAACUGCUGUGGUUUUACCCACAGUCACCGGACCGUGCUGCCGCCCUGGUGGGAGGAUGUGUCUGCCUGCACAGCAUUCCCACAGCAACCAGCACAGCCCUUGUGUGGUGGAGGUGCCGGGCAUACUGAGAUGCAUCUGUCAGCAUCUGCCUCCUGGUACCUUGGGCCUGCAUGUCUGGCAGGCAGGUAGAAGAACACGCUGGCCAUUUCAAUGUUAAGACAAAGAGGUAGAGAAGGCUGGAUGAAGGAGGUGAUGACUGAACCAUAUCCUGAGGCAGCUGGGGUUUCCAGGAAGAGGACAGAGAGAAGGACAUUCAGGUGGAGGAGCCAGCAGAUGUGACAACCAGUGCACAGAGAGAUUAACUAACUUGCCGUCCAGUGGGCAUGUGGUGGAGCCCAGGGUGAAACCCAGGCAGUCUCU